rnacentral:rRNA from 1 species
AUUGAACGCUGGCGGCAGGCCUAACACAUGCAAGUCGAACGAGUGGCGGACGGGUGAGUAAUGGCUGGGAAACUGCCCGAUGGAGGGGGAUAACUACUGGAAACGGUAACUAAUACCGCAUACCAUCAGAUGUGCCCAGAUGGGAUUAGCUAGUUUGUGGGGUAAAGGCUCACCAACGCGACGAUCCCUAGAUGGUUUGAGAGGAUGACCAGCCACACGGGAACUGCGAAACGGUCCAGACUCCGACGUGAGGAAGCAGUGGGGAAUAUUGCACAUUGGGCGCAAUCCUGAUGCAGCCAUGCCGCGUGGAUGAAGAAGGCCGUCGGUUUGUAAAGUACUUUCAGCGGGGAGGCGUUACCCGCAGAGGAAGCACCGGCGAACUCCGUGCCAGCAGCCGCGGUAAUUC